AGGGAGCGCGAUGUGUCUGCCGGAGGCACCGUGCUGAGCGACGAGAGAUCCUCCGAGCAACCCCAGUGUGAGCCCCAGGCUGCGGGGAGAGGUUUGGAGCUGGGGGAGGGCAGCAGAGAAUGGGACGAAAAGAAGGCGACGGCAUCAAAACCUUUGUUGUUUUUUUUUUUUUUUCCCCUUCUUUUUUUCCCCCCUCUCUCAAAUCUCUAUUGUUAAAAUUGAUCUCUUUAGCGCAGAAAAUGCCUUUUCUUUUCUUUUUUUCUUUCUUUCACACGGGCCCCGGCACCCUCUCCAGCCUGACAAUUAGCAUGUUAAUUUUUUUCAUCAAACUGCCUUUACGCCGCUAUUAGCUGCUGGCUGCUCGCCAGCCUGCGCUCACCCCGUCGCAUCAGAUAAGCGCGGUUAAUGCUUCCUUUUAACUCGCCCUGAUUUGGGGCAGCGGCGAGGAAGGGGUACAGAAGGGCAGGGGAGAGAGGAGUGCAGGGGAAAUCGACGGCAGGAAGCACCCGACGCGUUCUCUCCAUCCCCGGGGUACCCAUCCAAGCAAACGUGAAAGCUGCUUAUGUUGAACUAUUGCAGCCGGCUGUCCAGGGAGGUUAAACAUUUCAAUUAGCAUAAUAAAUGUUUCUGCUAGGAAAGAGGGAGAAAUCCCCACGUCAGGCAGAUUUAAAUCAAAGGGAAUGGAGGCUCUGCUAGGAGGCAAUGCCCUUGUGCAGCCUGUUCCUAUCUGCUGAGCUCCAGGUACCUGCUGAGCCCUUGUGCCCUCCUGGUGGCACGGCUGAAGGCUGCUGUCAGCUCACAGCUCCGUUCCCCAUCCUGCUCCCAUCACCAGAACAGCCCAUACCUGCUCUUUGCCUCCUUGCUUUGGGUCAAGAUGUGAAUUUGCAGGGCGAUGUUCCUCCAAGGUUUUGCUGGGUUUUCUUUUCUUUUUUUUUUCUUUCCCCCUUUUACAGCCAAAGGAGCAGACUUUUCCCCGUGCCCUGGUUUAUUUCCCCAUCUUUAACCCCAGAACUGGGCACCGUGGUGGCUCCUCCUGGGACCAUUCCCCCUGUCCACAGCGCGGCCGUGGUUACCCAUAUUUACUCUGUAUGGGUUCAAAGAGCAGCGCGGAGAGGCAGGCAGCCAGCACAGGGGCUGGAAAAAUCAACAGAGCCAUAAAAAAAGCUGGUGCAGCUCCUACCUGUCCUACCUAUGGUGUCUCCUUGCAGCCAGAGCAGCACUGAGCAGUGCAGAACAUGGAUGGUUGGAGGUCUGCGUGUCUUCCCAGCACCCUGCCCUCUUCCUCCCUGAACUCUGGUUGGCCUUAACCAAACUUUGCAUCCUUUGUUUGUUUACUUUAUUGGUUUUAUUAAUCCAGUAGGAAAAGCAGAGAGGCAGCCAGGGGCUGAGUGCUGAAAAUAGCAAGGAUUGUCUUCGUGUUUCACGUCUUUCAGCCCAAAGCUCAUUAAAAUGGCUUCUCUGCCAACUCCUCAAAAAUGCCACGAUGGAUGCACAGAAAUGUUGCAUUAGAGGAGCGCUCCUUUUAACCACUAGAGUUGUCCCCAAGGCUGAAGGGACAGCCUGAACCCCAUCUAUCCACUCCUGCUGGCAUACAGGUUCCACAUGGAACUGGAACAUUUUCCCUUUUCCUCCUACAAAACGUUAUCUCAUGCUCUUUCAGGAUUUGUUUUCUGCCAUGGGGAUACAAUGGCUCAGUGCCAUGGCUUCAUGUUCAUGGUUUUGGAUUGAGAAUCGUUGCUAAUGGUCACGGUGUGAGCGCUGGAAUAAAUCCCUGGGUGUUUUACAGCUGCCCUGAGUGCACGCGGGCUGUGGGGUGGGAAAAGCUCCUCCUGCUUUUGCCUGUCUGUCUGAUAUACAAAGGGAUGAGAAGCUCUGGGAGUAGUAAAUCAGAUGUGGUUUCGGCAGCUCCGUAUCCAGGCUUCAUCUCAAAAAAACCCUGAAUUGCUAUAAAUAAUACUUUAAUUGCAAAAAGUAAGAGCUGAUCCUUUCCCCUUGUUUUUCUUAGUUUGGAAGCUCAUUUAAAGUCCUCUGUUCCUUGAAAUUUUUACACGCUAAUUUACUUUGUAGCUUUGUUGUUAUUUUUUCUUGUUUCCUUUUACUUUUCUUGAAGGUUUUCAGCAUUUAAUGACUUGUUUGGGUGAGAUUGUAACAUGUGCUGGAAACGGUGCUGCAAGGACACACGUGGAGCCUCCAGCAGUGACUGAGUUAGCUGUGUAAUGAACCUCUCAGUGCUGUGGCUUCCUGGCUCCCCUGGGAUCUGGGUCAGUGUAACUAUGGGGGUGAAUCCUGAAAGGUCUUUGUUCUUCUGAGCACCAUUUAGGUGUUGCUUCCAACCCAAGCCAUCUUAUGAUUCUGUAGUGACUCGGUGGUUGUUCUGGCCACACCAUGGUCCACUUUUGCCAUAGCACAGCCAAUGCUGCCACAAAUCGCUUGCAAUUCAGUGCUUGGCCCUAUCAGCUAACACUCUCCUGGUGACUCGGACCAUGCUGUUAGCUUUAACAACCAUCAGCCAAGCUGCAAACAAGCAAGAUGCAAAACACAAAGAGUGACCAGUGCUUGGGGUUUGGUUGUGCAGUGGACUGCUGGAGCCUUUCCCUAUUUCCAGCCUGGUAAAUAAUGCAUGAUCUGUCUCUUACAUGCUUACUCAACCCCUACCACGAUAAAAAUCAACCGAGGGAAAUGAGAGUGGAAAGGAGCAUUAUCUUUCCCAGUAAUGCAACCAUUUACAAUCUGUUACGAUCCUUCUGCUGAGGAGUAAGCGGUGGUGGAGGAGUUUGUUUCUAUUAGCAGACCAGAAACCAUAAAUCAAGGGCUGUAGUUUUCCAAUGUCACGUACAAGCAGCCUUAAAGCCCUUUAAAAAAAAAAAAAAGAGAGAGAGAGAAAAUGGAAAUAACUUCUGUAUCUAUCUAUCUAUCUGUAUAUAUUUUUAAUUGCUCUGGGGUAAUCUAGGCACACUUAUUUUGUGUGCCUAAGUAUCAAAUACCAAUGACUGUAUUUUCCAAUGUAGGAUCUUAAAGCUAAGCAACAGACACCUAAAGAGAGGGUGCUGCCUUUGGUGCUUAAAAGCAGAUCAGAAUGCCUGAGAAAAUUGGCCCAAGUGCAAACAAGUGUGGAAAAUCUUUUAUUUCUUAAGAGCGUGUUUGUCAUAUUUAAAACUGAGCUCUAACGUGGCAUUUCUUGAGGUCUGUUCUCACCAGCUGAAACAGAAGCAUCUAAAAAGCAUCCAGAAAGGUCUGCGGAUCCAAUGGAAAUGGGAGCUUCUGUGCAUUUCCUCAAUGCUCUGCCUAAAUCUUCUACUCUCCAGUGGUGAGGAGCCUCUUGGUUGGCCACAGCACCAUUCCAAGGAGGGAAGAAUCACCCUGCCCUUCUGCCAGCCUGCUCAGCUGUGGCUGCUGUGUUGGGAGUUUUGGUCAGUGUUGGAAACUGCUCCUCCUGUUCUGCGUGGUCAGUCAGUGUCUGCUUCUCUCAGUGAAUUACAGCUGGGGCAGGAAAACUGCAGGAAAUACGAAGCUCAUAGAAAUACCUUCAACCUCAGACCCUUGAAAUAUCCGCAUCUUAAUACACCACAACUGGGAAAAGAGAACUUCACCUGACCUUGAAGUUUGCAGAGGAAAGCAGUCACCGAGUUGUUCCUUUGGAGGUGAUGGGCUGUUGAAGCCCCAGGAAUUCUUCACCUCGGGUGUGAAACCGUGAAGUGUCACUCAGCACCAAAGGAUCCUCAAUGGUUUCCCUGUCUGGCGGCACAGCGCUGCUUAUCGCAUCCCCUGUGAAUGCCUCUCUUCUCAUCACGUUGCUGUUGGGAUCAAUUUCUAUCUCUGCUCCAGCAUACGCCCCGAAUCCUUUUCCUCUAGCUAAUAUAUUAUGUGCAUCAGAACUUGGUAAUGUGCCUGUUCAAGGAGAAACAGGAGUUGAGAUCGAGCAUCAUCAGCUGUGGGAAUGACCUACACCAUAUGGGACAUGAGACAGUUACCCAGUCUGCGUUACAUAAGGAAUAAAAUCGUGUUGCUUUGCUGAAGCAUGGAAGGAAAGAGAACUAGAAUGUGAUGACAAAUGGCUGCUCCUGAGGAUAAAGCUACAACUGGGUACCUUUCAGGAUGACACACUUGCAUUGAACAACUCCUGAUGUCAUGCAAAAGGCUGGAUGUCAUCACCUGUGAAUUUGGGAGGUUGGAUCACAACUCCUUCCCUCUGCCAGGGGAAGUCUUUGAACCAUCUCAUCUUAUGCCUGGCAUUUGCUGAUAUCAUGUAAUGGGGUACAUACUGUAUCCACUCUACAUUUCUGACUUAAUUCUUUAUCAGCACUGACUCUCUUAUUCCCAGAGGGGAGCUGAGCAGAGCUGUGUGGAGCCCCAUUCCCUCUGCAUGGGGAUUUCCAGUGCCUGCCUUGCCACGAGGGAAACGCUAGUGGUGUCAAACCUAAUGCGUUAACAAGCCAGCUUGCAUGCAUGGUGAUUGAAGGACCCCAGUGUAAUUGCCAAGCUGCCUCUGGGAGCUGAUCCCAUGUGUAAUUUCCUUCCUAAAAUUGGAACUUCAAGAUGCAUUGAAUGGCCUUAUUGCACGUUUUUUCUGCUUGAUAUUUGGAUACCAGUUUCAUAGAAUCAUCUUUACACGUGUAUGACUUUGUAAUGAAAGAAAGGGCAAACAGGAGUGGCAGACUUAAGGUCAGGUUAUUUUUAGAUGUUUUAUAAACAAUAUAGCCCCCCCAAAAAAGUCCAGAAGUAUCCUGUUACAAUAAGGUACAGCUUUCCACGCUGUACACGAUCUGAAGUCCCCCUUUGUAAUAAU